CGCUUUAUUUUAAUCUGUCUCUUUUCAGAAUCACCCCCUUCAUUGAUACCGAUCACCCAACAUCACAAGACAUCCCCAUCUCUCAGCGUGGACUCCCCCUAUCUGACAAUGAAGAAUUUUGCAGAAGACUGCUCUGCAAACACCUGUAAAUACACGCUGAAGGGCAUGGUACUGGGCAUAGAGCUGAGAGGGAGGAUACCAAGUCAGAUGCUGUGUGGAGAAUUGUGACCCCUCUGAAGUCCUGACCUGUCCUUCGUGCUCUUCCUGCCACAAGGAUUUUGCCUAUGGUUUUAGAAUGCUUCUACUACUUCUGUUGAUGCUAAGAAAUACUUCAGAAUUCUUGGCUAUUUAGUGUGCAAGAUUGUCUUCCAAAGUUUGCAUUAUUGAUGUGAUGCCUGGCAGCAGUACUCUAGUUAAGAGAGUGACAGCAUUUCCAUUAAGAAACCUUUUUGAUAGCUAAGUUGGCCAUCAAAGUCGCCUUGUGCUUCAUUUGGCAUGCGGAUUCUCAGACCACAGUACAGAUCCAGACCACAGGAGCUGCUCCUCUCUCGUAUGUUGGGUAAGGGCAAAACUGCACACACAAAAAUGCAUGCACACAAUUUCUGUGCAUGUGAUUCUAUAAAUCUGGACCUGUUUGUAUUAAAUUACAGGAAAAUAUGCAAAGUCCUACAGAUUCCUAUGUUAAUUUGCAUGCUUUUAUCAUAAAGGCUAUGUGCUAUCACAGUAAUCUUAAUAUACAUUGACAGACUACACCAUAACCACUCCAAAAAGCCAUUAGAGUUUAUUUUAUAAAUGUAUAAUAAGAAUUCUAGGCAUAUUCAGCACUGCACAAUUCAAUUUUUUUAUGAUGAUUAUUAUUAUUCACUGACACCUGUAACAGGAGUGGAGCCAUUGAACCUACAUGGUUAAAGCAUUGGACCAAAGGUUCUGAGCACAACCUGGAGCAGUUAGGCUGACAGUUUUCCCCGAAAUGUAAUGGUUGCCUAAUUGCCAGGCAUUGCUCUGAAGAUUCCUGUCUAAACGAUCCAAUGAACGCAUUUCACUGUGAUCUGCCGACAUCAUUGGCAUCCUUGCUGCAGGAAAACAACGCUAUUUAAGCUCUCCAGGCAUUCUUACCAUAGUCCCCAUUUCACUCUUGCUGCAGGAACACCUGACUGCCACGACAGCCUGCCCACUGCAGUGAAGGGCUUUGCAGGCACAUCAGUGGUACAACCCAUCCUGCCAGUCAGGGCUUCAUGGGAAGCUCUGAGCAGUCCCUUGCCACAUGGCUUCUGUACACUGCAACAUUAAAUCCCAGAGUCUUCCACAGAUAAGGCUGCCUUCGAUUUUCUAGUUGCUCUUAAGGGACUGCUAAUGUUAAACACUUAUUUUUUUAAUAUUAGCAUCCUCAGGAGAGAGUGAAUCAUUAGCUUUUUUUGCUGAACUGAACAAUUACAUUAAAUGAUUAUGUCCAGACUGUUAAAGGUAGUGUCAGAGCAGCCUCCAGCAGCCAUCGCACACAGCCUCUGUCAGAACCCUCUGCAUCAGCACCCUAAAGACAUGUGCCAACGCUUCCUUCAGAACAUGCAGAACAGAAGUGAGUGCACCAAAAUGACCAAAAAGGUCUAUGUAAGUACCAGCAGGCUGUAACUUCUGAAAGCCAGGACCUGGAAUCAGUGAAGCUCUCUUCAUGAGGCUGAAACAUUUGCCAGAUUUUAUGCAACAACAAAAUGAUAACAAAAAGCUUCUGUGCGUGCAUUUAUAAAUACACAUGCAAGUGCAUUAUAUAUGUAUAUACAGUUAAAUUUAUGUGCAGGUGGGCAUAUCACAGAAUUGCAGGGGUUGGAAGGGGCUUCUAGAGAUCAUCAAGUCCAACAGCCCUGCUAAAGCAGGUUCCCUAUAUAUGUACAACACACAUAUACAAGAUAAACACAUGUGCACAUCCACAGAUGUGCAUUCUGAAGUAGACAGAGAUCUCUAGGUACUCAACAAAUGUAAUGCCACUUAAAUCACAGGAGCACUUUUGCACAGAGGGCGAGGUGACUAGUCCAAUGCCAUCCAGCAUGUCAAAGAAGAAGCCAAGAACAGCCCAUCCGAGCUGCAGUUCAGACUUCUGGCCUGCUCAAGCUAAACCUGUACCAUGCCUUGGGCUGCCAACCACAUCCUUCCCUUAAAGUGCAGCCAGGAACGGCUCAGCUCUGGUAUAAGCCAUGCUACCAUGUAUAAUCAGGCACAUAGUCCAUGAAUGAAAUGUGUGUCUUAUAAUUAGGUCCACACAAAUGCUGAAACUUCAAAAUACAGUUUAGAAGGGUUUCCAGUACAUCUGAUGCCACAGGCAUCACAGCUCUGCUUCUGGACUUACCAGCUG